rnacentral:rRNA from 1 species
ACUCCUACGGGAGGCAGCAGUGGGGAAUAUUGCACAAUGGGCGCAAGCCUGAUGCAGCCAUGCCGCGUGUAUGAAGAAGGCCUUCGGGUUGUAAAGUACUUUCAGCAGUGAGGAAGGUGGAUAUGUUAAUAGCAUAUUCAUUUGACGUUAGCUGCAGAAGAAGCACCGGCUAACUCCGUGCCAGCAGCCGCGGUAAUACGGAGGGUGCGAGCGUUAAUCGGAAUUACUGGGCGUAAAGCGCAUGCAGGUGGUUUGUUAAGUCAGAUGUGAAAGCCCGGGGCUCAACCUCGGAAUUGCAUUUGAAACUGGCAAACUAGAGUACUGUAGAGGGGGGUAGAAGUUUCAGGUGUAGCGGUGAAAUGCGUAGAGAUCUGAAGGAAUACCGGUGGCGAAGGCGGCCCCUGGACAGAUACUGACACUCAGAUGCGAAAGCGUGGGGAGCAAACAGGAUUAGAUACCCUGGUAGGCUCU